rnacentral:rRNA from 1 species
UACGGGGGGGGGCAAGCGUUGUUCGGAAUUACUGGGCGUAAAGGGCUCGUAGGCGGCCAACUAAGUCAGACGUGAAAUCCCUCGGCUUAACCUGGGGAACUGCGUGUGAUACUGGAUGGCUUGAGCCAUCUAGGGGCUGUCGGAACAAAUGGUGGAGCGGUGAAAUGCGUAGAUAUCAUUUGGAACGCCAAAGGUGAAAACAGACAGCUGGGGAUGUGCUGACGCUGAGACACGAAAGCCAGGGGAGCGAACGGG